rnacentral:rRNA from 1 species
AUUGAACGCUGGCGGCAGGCCUAACACAUGCAAGUCGGACGGUAGCACAGAGAGCUUGCUCUCGGGUGACGAGUGGCGGACGGGUGAGUAAUGUCUGGGGAUCUGCCCGAUAGAGGGGGAUAACCACUGGAAACGGUGGCUAAUACCGCAUAACGUCGCAAGACCAAAGAGGGGGACCUUCGGGCCUCUCACUAUCGGAUGAACCCAGAUGGGAUUAGCUAGUAGGCGGGGUAAUGGCACACCUAGGCGACGAUCCCUAGCUGGUCUGAGAGGAUGACCAGCCACAUUGGAACUGAGACACGGUCCAGACUCCUACGGGAGGCAGCAGUGGGGAAUAUUGCACAAUGGGCGCAAGCCUGAUGCAGCCAUGCCGCGUGUAUGAAGAAUGCCUUCGGGUUGUAAAGUACUUUCAGCGGGGAGGAAGGCGAUGCGGUUAAUAACCGUGUCGAUUGACGUUACCCGCAGAAGAAGCACCGGCUAACACCGUGCCAGCAGCCGCGGUAA